rnacentral:rRNA from 1 species
UACAGAGGUGGCAAGCGUUGUUCGGAAUUACUGGGCGUAAAGGGCGCGUAGGCGGCCAUCUAAGUCAGACGUGAAAUCCCUCAGCUUAACUGGGGAACUGCGUCUGAUACUGGAUGGCUUGGAUUCGGGAGAGGAAUGCGGAAUUCCAGGUGUAGCGGUGAAAUGCGUAGAUAUCUGGAGGAACACCGGUGGCGAAGGCGGCAUUCUGGACCGACAUUGACGCUGAGGAGCGAAAGCCAGGGGAGCAAACGGG